GAGGCCUACACAUGCAGUCGAACGAUCCUUCGGGAUAGUGGCAGACGGGUGAGUAACGCGUGGGAACCUUCCCUAUGGUACGGAAUAGCUCCGGGAAACUGGAAUUAAUACCGUAUAAGCCCUUCGGGGGAAAGAUUUAUCUGCCAUAGGAUGGGCCCGCGUCGGAUUAGCUAGUUGGUGAGGUAAUGGCUCACAAAGGCGACGAUCCGUAGCUGGUCUUAGAGGAUGAUCAGCCACACUGGGACUGAGACACGGCCCAGACUCAUACGGGAGGCAGCAGUGGGGAAUAUUGGACAAUGGGCGGAAGCCUGAUCCAGCCAUGCCGCGUGAGUGACGAAGGCCUUAGGGUUGUAAAACUCUUUUGGCGGGGACGAUAAUGACGGUACCCGCAGAAUAAGCCCCGGCUAACUUCGUGCCAGCAGCCGCGGUAAUACGAAGGGGGCUAGCGUUGUUCGGAAUCACUGGGCGUAAAGCGCACGUAGGCGGACUGAUUAGUUGGGGGUGAAAUCCCAGGGCUUAACCCUGGAACUGCCUUCAAUACUGUCAGUCUUGAGUCCGAGAGAGGUGAGUGGAAUUCCUAGUGUAGAGGUGAAAUUCGUAGAUAUUAGGAAGAACACCAGUGGCGAAGGCGGCUCACUGGCUCGGUACUGACGCUGAGGUGCGAAAGCG
rnacentral:rRNA from 1 species